rnacentral:tRNA from 1 species
GGCUCCAUAGUGUAGUGGUUAGCACGUUUGCUCUACACGCAGAAGGGUCAUGGUUCGCACUCCCGGUGGAGCCA